rnacentral:rRNA from 1 species
GUGGAAAACAAAAAGCUAAAGCUUUUGGUGGUAUACGAUGGAUCCGCGUCUGAUUAGCUUGUUGGCGGGGUAAAGGCCCACCAAGGCGACGAUCAGUAGCCGGCCUGAGAGGGUGAACGGCCACGUUGGGACUGAGACACGGCCCAAACUCCUACGGGAGGCAGCAGUGGGGAAUAUUGCACAAUGGGGGAAACCCUGAUGCAGCGACGCCGCGUGAGUGAAGAAGUAUUUCGGUAUGUAAAGCUCUAUCAGCAGGGAAGAAAAUGACGGUACCUGACUAAGAAGCCCCGGCUAACUACGUGCCAGCAGCCGCGGUAAUACGUAGGGGGCAAGCGUUAUCCGGAUUUACUGGGUGUAAAGGGAGCGUAGACGGCAGCGCAAGUCUGGAGUGAAAUCCCAUGGCUUAACCAUGGAACUGCUUUGGAAACUGUGCAGCUAGAGUGCAGGAGAGGUAAGCGGAAUUC